CCAGGACGCAGCAGCUGAACUUUUUCUUCAGAGACAAGGUCUUGCUUUGUCACCCAGGCUGGAGUACACAGUGGCACAAUCUCUGUUCACCGCAACCUCCACCUCCCAGGUUCAAGCGAUUCUCCUGCCUCAGCCUCCCGAGUAGCUGGGAUCACAGGCGUGCACCACCACGCCCUGCUAACCACCUAUGAAAAAUUCUUGCCCAAAAUGUUUAAUCUGUAUAUUAUCAAGCUGUCAUACACAAUUCCAGUUUUUAGGAAAUACAGAAGAAAGAAGAACAAGUCAAAUAGCGCCAAAGGAAAAUUAUCAGACAAAUCCAGAAGGUAGGACUUCCUAUGGGACAACUGAACUGGUUUCAUCAACAAGUAAAUGGGAAUAAAAAACAAAUGGCUUCGCAGAUAUAAUAAUAUGUAAUACGUACACCUUGUCUGAAUCUUGGUUUGAUUCACCUUGGGGACAAAUGGGGAUAUUGGAACAUAGAUUGGUUAUUAUAUGGUAUUAAGAAAUUAUUGUUAAUUUUGUUAGGUGUAUAAAAGUAUUGUGGUUAUAUAAAGAAAAAGUCCUAUGCAUGUGAAGUAGUAAGAGAUGAAAUCUACUUUAAAAAUCUACUUUAAAAUACUCCAGCCAAAAAAUAGAUUCAGCAAAUAUGAAAAUAAUGCAAUGUCAUUUUUUGGAUGUAUUCAAAUUAAGCUAUGUAACAAGACUGAUUUUCAAACUCCUUUCUUCUUAGACAGUGAUAUAGUUUGGGAGUGGGGAGAGUUUUAAAGAGCUUGAAGAAAAAAGUCACGAUAGACAAUUGUUUCUGUUUUACUCAAGGAAUUAACUAAAAGAUAUAUGACUUUAGAGAAGUCAUAUAUUGAGCCACUUAUUGCAUGAGUUCUAAAUAAACUCCACUUCCCUGCCCUGACCCUAAACCUCUUGACCUCAUUUCUCUUCUUUAAAAUGCCUUAUUUCUCUUUCCUUUACAGUAAAACUCCUUGAAAGACAGUCCAUAGUCUUGUUUGCAAUAGCUAUCUUCCCACUCUCACUUGAACCCACUCCAACCAGGCCUCCCCAUCUCCAUGAACCUGAUCUUGUCAGAGUCACAAGGACCUCCACGAUCUCCACAUUGCUAACCAAAUGGUCAAUGUUCAGUCUUCAUCUUAUUCAGCUCAUCAGCAGUCCAUAACUUCCUCUUCCUUGAUGCAUAUUCUUCACCUAGCUUCCAAAACCUAUACUUCUCCUGGCUUUUCUCUGCCUUACCGGUAAUGCCUUACUGGUCUCGUUGCUGGCUCCUUCUCUUCUGCCCCACUUUAUGCACAGAAAUGCCCUAGACCUGCCCUUUCUCUACCUAUACUCACCCUCUACUGCUUGUGAGCAUCUUGCGGUCAGCUCUCCACCUACCCAGCCCCCUGCAGUUUGAGCUCAAUACCUGUUUGUUGAAGUGCACUGAGUCCGGAAAGUCGGUUCUGUCAGUGAGCUUCUACAGAAAGGAAGCCUUUGAAAAUUUUUUUUGAGAAAAGAAGACGGGGCAAGAAGGGGGGCCGGAAUAAAACACUGCACUCACUUCACUAUUUACCCUCUUAUCUGUUAUCUGUAGAGAGGAGGCAACACUGAGGAGCACAGUGAUUCUCAGACUUAGAGCACACCCAAAUUAUUAAAAUCACUUGUUAAAAUGCGGGUUCCUGAAUUCUGUCUCAAUCAUUCUGAUUCAAGUAGUCUG
rnacentral:lncRNA from 1 species